UGGAACCCGUAUUAUGCCGUGCAUUCGC
rnacentral:sRNA from 1 species